GGUAGCAGGGGGAUGAGGAACUGGGGAUAUCCACUGGAGGGUCCCAAAUACCAGAGAAAAGUGAGGCUACCAAGAUCCAACGGGAUUGGCUUUAGCUGUAAUGCAUAGAGAAGGGGGAGAUAGAACCUGUAGAGACCACUCCCAGUAGAUAGCCGUGACCCCUGGUCAAGGGAUGGGGCCAUCCACCCAUCUCAAAGUUUUUUAACCCAGGAAUGUUCCUUUCCACAGGAAGAACAGGGACAAAGAAUGGAACAGAGACUGAAGGAAGGGCCAACUGGAGAUGGCCCCGCCUGGGGAAUACAUUGUGUCUGCAAACACCAAACCUAACACCAUUGCCAUGAUCAUGAGGCACUUGUGGACAGGAAUCAAGUGUGGCAGUUCCUGGGGAGUGGCAUCAAGGGAUAGGAGAGCUGCUCCCAGUUACAGCCAAACCUAAUGAGGUGGGAGAAACAUGACAUCCUCCAUUUAAGUAGGAAGCCAUUCAGAAGAAAACAACUUUAAUAAAGCAAAUAAAACUAUCUACAAAAAGA